UACGUAGGGCGCAAGCGUUAUCCGGAAUUAUUGGGCGUAAAGAGCUCGUAGGCGGUUUGUCGCGUCUGCCGUGAAAGUCCGGGGCUCAACUCCGGAUCUGCGGUGGGUACGGGCAGACUAGAGUGAUGUAGGGGAGACUGGAAUUCCUGGUGUAGCGGUGAAAUGCGCAGAUAUCAGGAGGAACACCGGUGGCGAAGGCGGUUCUCUGGGCAUGAUCUGACGCUGAGGAGCGAAAGCUAGGGGAGCAAACGGG
rnacentral:rRNA from 1 species